GACUGAUCCGGGCCGAAAUAAGCGUUCAGGGGGUUAUCCUUCGCUUGGGGGCUUACAGAUCUUAUUCCUCGUUCCCAUGGAGACAGCGGGCGUCUGAUAUUUGUUGUGGCUGCCAAAAUAGAAUCUGCUGUCUCUUCCAUUGAGCCCGAGGCGUCGCCCGUUAGAACUCUCUGUUUCCUGGCUGCAGCUUCCGUAGGGUCUGUGCAACAAAGGUCUUUGUUCUAGGUACUGUGAAGAUGAUCUCAUCAUAACAGCCAAUGUUUCUGCUCUCUGGCCCUUAGCAUCACUGCUCAUCACACGUUGUCUUCUAGCCGCCGCUUCUGUUGGGUCAGGGCAGCUAAGGUUCUGACCUCUUAGAGGAUGAGUAGUUGUCAUGUGUAUCUCUUCAUUCCUUUCAGAUGAGAAUGUCGUUGCUACUGGCUUAGCUCUCCAUUCCUUAAGACCUUUCUGAGGAAAAAGAGCUCGCUUAAGUUGUCGUCCUUCAACCUCCUCUCUUCUCACUGUGUACGGAGGAGAGUUGUGUUCUUGGACCUCCACCACCAGAUUGCUAGAUCUGCUUCUCCAGUUCUGUGUUCUGUCUGCCUUAGUAAUCAGAGCUCUGACUGGUGGGGGCACUCUAGUUUGUUUGGUUGCAACUCUCUCUCCGAAGCUGUUGCCAUGUCUGUCGACUCUUUCGUUGAAAGACUUCGUGGUCCCAUCCUUCUUGUGGGGGUCUCUCUCUUGGCUUUCAGAAAGAUUUGUCAGUUCCUUUCCUGUGGUCUGUGUGUCUUUUUUACUGCUGUUGUGAUUGAAGUUUCUACCCAGGCUGUAGAGAUCUUCUUCCGCCUGAAGUUUUAGAGAUUUGUUUCUUUCCAUGCGUUUAGGACAAUCAUCUUUCAGAUGCGAGAGAGACUGGCAGCAGGAGCAGUGAUUCUCCAACCUUUCAUACUCCAGAUGUCUUGGUGAGUUCGUGAUUCAGCAACGUUCCCAACUCCUUCCCAAUGUCACAAAUCAUGUCUUCAUGCCAGUAGUGGAGCGGUAGCCCUUUUAUACGAAUCCAAAAAGGAAUUUGUGACGGGAAGGUAGCAGAUAUGACAGGUUCCCACCGUUGGAGGAUAAUCAUCCAGUAUGCAAAAUGAUAAGGUGCCAUUUGCGAGGCAGUGCUGGGAGGAGAGCCCAAAGCUUUUGUUCCUGGGGGUUGGUGACUCUACCGAUGAGUGUGAGCCUGUUCUCCUUGAUGAGAAUCGAGUUAUCCACGUAGCGAGCUUUGAUUCUCUUGAUGAAGUUCUAUGGAGGUAGGCAGCCUCUUGCUGUUAGCUUGAAAGAGAUUUAAGAGCAGAUUACUACGUAGCAGUGGAGGUAGAUCUACAAAGUUGUGAAGUCUUGAAGUUGAAAUUUGAGAAGAUCUUCUUGGAGGAUGCCACUUCCAGUAAGAAAAUAGGGUUUCCUUAGAAAGGCGAUGCAACGGACCGGUGGAUUCUUCCAAAUUUGGUAACUUCUUG